GUGGCGGACGGGUGAGUAACACGUGAGGAUCUGUCGUUGAGUGGGGGACAACAGUUGGAAACGACUGCUAAUACCCCAUAGGCCGAAAGGUUAAAGGAGCAAUCCACUCGAUGAGGAACUCGCGGCCUAUCAGCUAGUUGGUGGGGUAAAGGCCUACCAAGGCGAAGACGGGUAGCCGGCCUGAGAGGGUGUACGGCCACACUGGAACUGAGACACGGUCCAGACUCCUACGGGAGGCAGCAGUGGGGAAUAUUGGGCAAUGGGGGAAACCCUGACCCAGCGACGCCGCGUGGGGGAUGAAGUCUCUCGGGACGUAAACCCUUGUUGAUGGGGAAGAAGACAGUGACGGUACCCAUCGAGGAAGCCCCGGCAAACUACGUGCCAGCAGCCGCGGUAAUACGUAGGGGGCGAGCGUUGUCCGGAAUUACU
rnacentral:rRNA from 1 species